CAAUGUUGCCGAUGUCGAACCCUUCAGCUAAUCCCACACAGCUUACAAUUUUCUAUGGUGGAUCAGUAUGUGUGUAUGACUCGGUGCCACCAGAAAAGGCUCAGGCAAUCAUGCUUAUAGCUGCAGCUGCGGCAGCUGCGGCAGCCACCAAAGGCAGUGCUGCCACUGCUUUUAAUCCUCCAAUGAGCACUUCUGUAGCAGCUGGACAAGCUUAGGUUGUUGCUGACCCUAGCUCAAUAAGCAAGCUUCAGGCUGAUCUCCCCAUUGCCAGGAGGCACUCUCUCCAGCGCUUCCUUGAGAAACGUCGUGACAGGGUCGUGAGCAAAGCUCCGUACAGCCCCGCCAAGUCGUUCGAUGGCAUGGAGUCAGCGGGAAUGGAGAUG